rnacentral:tRNA from 1 species
UUAAUUGAAGCCAAAAUUGAGGCAUCUUAAUGUUAAUGAGAAAAAUGAAUUAAUUUCCAAUUAAA